rnacentral:misc_RNA from 1 species
UGGUCGCGGCCGGCCGGUCAUCGUAUGAGCCCAACAAGGCCGCAAUCUGCGGAUCCUGUUGGAAGGUUUGCUGGACUUGACGCACGGCAUCGCGCGGCAAGACGACGUCG